rnacentral:rRNA from 1 species
CCUACGGGAGGCAGCAGUGGGGAAUAUUGCACAAUGGGGGGAACCCUGAUGCAGCGACGCCGCGUGAGUGAAGAAGUAUUUCGGUAUGUAAAGCUCUAUCAGCAGGGAAGAAAAUGACGGUACCUGACUAAGAAGCCCCGGCUUACUACGUGCCAGCAGCCGCGGUAAUACGGAGGGGGCAAGCGUUAUCCGGAUUUACUGGGUGUAAAGGGAGCGCAGACGGCUGUGCAAGUCUGGAGUGAAAGGCGAGGGCCCAACCCCCGGACUGCUCUGGAAACUGGAAAGCUGGAGUGCAGGAGAGGUAAGCGGAAUGCGUGGUGUAGCGGUGAAAUGCGUAGAUAUUAGGAGGAACACUAGUGGCGAAGGCGGCUUACUGGACUGCAACUGACGUUGAGGCUCGAAAGCGUGGGGAGCGAACAGGAUUAGAUACCCUUGUAGUC